CGUCGGGCCCAUUCGCAGACGGGAAACAGCACUUCUCCAGUCAGCAAAGCACCAAGGAGCAUGUUGGCCAGUUUGCAGACUGGGAAGCCCAGCCCCUCCCCCACCCCUUGGCUGCAACUUGCCUUGCAGCAGCCAAAGAGAAGGAAUCAGGCUCCACAUGGAGCUGGCUCGGGUCCCUUUGAUCCUUUUGCCUCCCCUGUAAAGCAAGCAGUGGGAUUGGGGGGAAAGGAAGAAGGGGGAAAGGAGCGAGGGAGUGUGGGGAGAAGCCAAGCCACUGUGACCCACUCACUGCCUUCCCAUUUUAGGCCGGCUCUGGAAGGAAGGAAGGAAGGAAGGAAGGAAGGAAGGAAGGAAGGAAAACUUCUUCAUGGACAUAGACAGAUAUAAUCCUCAGUUACACUUGUAGCAACUCCUGAAAAACAUUGUGGGACAUUGAACACCAUGAGAAAACUCCUCCCAGCAGAGAGUUCUUAAUGAUUGGGAAAUCUGGUUUUAAUGAUCUGGGAAUGUAUAAUCAUGUAUAUUUUUUCCAUCCCUAGAUAAUUGUUGCUAGACUAUACUUAUUCAGCAGAUAUUUCUGUUUGUAUCAGUUUAAAUUGGUCAAAUGCACUAGAUGCCAAUGCACCACAAGUGACACAGUUAGAUCAGGGACUGCUCCAAACAUAUUUUAGAGGAAAUACAAAUACAUCUGAAGAUACUGAACCCUAUUUUCAUAAAUAGAUAUCCAUCC
rnacentral:lncRNA from 11 species